ensembl:snRNA U6 U6 spliceosomal RNA
GUGUUCACUUUGGCAGCACAAGUACUAAAAUUAGAACGACACAGAGAUUAGCAUGGCCUUUCACAAGAAUGACACACACACUUGUGAAACGCUCCAUAUUUCA